GAGUUGGAUCAUGGCUCAGAUUGCAACGCUGGNGGCANAGCCUAACACAUGCAAGUCGAGCGGCAGCACAAGGGAGUUUACUCCUGAAGGUGGCGAGCGGCGGACGGGUGAGUAAUGCCUAGGGAUCUGCCCAGUCGAGGGGGAUAACAGUUGGAAACGACUGCUAAUACCGCAUACGCCCUACGGGGGAAAGAGGGGGACCUUCGGGCCUCUCGCGAUUGGAUGAACCUAGGUGGGAUUAGCUAGUUGGUGAGGUAAUGGCUCACCAAGGCGACGAUCCCUAGCUGUUCUAGAGAGGAUGAUCAGCCACACUGGGACUGAGACACGGACCCAGACUCCUACGGGAGGCAGCAGUGGGGAAUAUUGCACAAUGGGGGAAACCCUGAUGCAGCCAUGCCGCGUGCGUGAAGAAGGCCUUCGGGUUGUAAAGCACUUUCAGUAGGGAGGAAAGGGUAGAGUCUUAAUACGGCUCAUCUGUGACGUUACCUACAGAAGAAGGACCGGCUAACUCCGUGCCAGCAGCCGCGGUAAUACGGAGGGUCCGAGCGUUAUCGGAAUUA
rnacentral:rRNA from 1 species